CAGGCCUGGCUGGCCUGCCCCCCGCGGGGGGCUUGGAGCCGCUGCCUCCCCCAUACCCCUGCACACCCACGUCUAGAGACGAGAUGCCGCAUGACCUCAGGACUCGUUUAAUAGUGAUGAUGGAGCCCUGCUCUUCCAGGGCAUCGCCGUCCUCCUCCGGGUAAUGGAAAGCCACGAAGAGCUGGUACAGAUGCCCACCAUGACAGCCAGGGCACCUGCCAAGUAGCUGGUGAGGAUGUCCCCCUUUGUCUCUUCGCUGGUGACCCUCUGUGCGGCGCCGGCCAGGGUGAUUGUCUGGAGAAGACGGACGUGCCCAUCUCAGCCCCACCAGCCCUGUGCUGAGACACCGCCUCCACUGACAGCACAGGGCAGCGAGGCGAGGGCUGUGCCGGUGCCGCCUCUGUGGUUUUGCUCCCCGUCCUUGGACAUCGGACAGGCACUGGCAGGGAGGCGCUUACUGCUCUCACUUGUGGUUUUGACAGCAAAGCAAUCAAAUUAUUAGCAAUUAAGUGAACUGCUUCCCUGGGGAGGUGGUGGGGACGAAGUGCUACGGCACAGCCAUGGGGACACCAUUUGCCAUCGUGGGAUGUAGCCCAAAUGCCAGGAGCAGCUCCAGAGCCCCAACCUCUGCCUACUCCAAGGCAGGAGGAAUUGUGGCACGUGCUGCCCGGUGCCACACCCUGAUUGCAGCGGAGCCGCGGCACAGGGCGGGCCAUGCCACGGGAACAGGGUCCAAGUGGAAGGACAGGCAGUGCUGAGUCGCACAUUCGAGAGUGGCGCAGCGCCAAACACCCCCCACCCCAGCAAGGGGCAGGCAGUGGAGCCCUGGGACGCCUGGCACCUGCCAGCACCCCACCGUCAGCCCCAUCCUACCCACAUGACCCCCGCAUCAGCCCUA